CGGUGGAGCAUGUGGUUAAUUCGAAGCAACGCGAAGAACUUACCAGGCCCUGACAUGCAGAGAACUUUCAGAGAUGGAUUGGUGCCUUCGGGAACUCUGACACAGGUGCUGCAUGGCUGUCGCCAGCUCGUGUCGUGAGAUGUUGGGUUAAGUCCGUAACGAGCGCAACCCUUGUCCUUAGUUACCAGCACGUUAUGGUGGGCACUCUAAGGAGACUGCCGGUGACAAACCGGAGGAAGGUGGGGAUGACGUCAAGUCAUCAUGGCCCUUACGGCCUGGGCUACACACGUGCUACAAUGGUCGGUACAAAGGGUUGCCAAGCCGCGAGGUGGAGCUAAUCCCAUAAAACCGAUCGUAGUCCGGAUCGCAGUCUGCAACUCGACUGCGUGAAGUCGGAAUCGCUAGUAAUCGUGAAUCAGAAUGUCACGGUGAAUACGUUCCCGGGCCUU
rnacentral:rRNA from 1 species